rnacentral:rRNA from 1 species
CGCGGCCUAUCAGCUUGUUGGUGGGGUAACGGCCUACCAAGGCGACGACGGGUAGCUGGUCUGAGAGGACGACCAGCCACACUGGAACUGAGAUACGGUCCAGACUCCUACGGGAGGCAGCAGUGGGGAAUCUUGCACAAAGGGCGAAAGCCUGAUGCAGCGACGCCGCGUGGGGGAUGAAUGCCUUCGGGUUGUAAACCCCUUUCGGCAGGGAAGAAGCGCAAGUGACGGUACCUGCAGAAGAAGCUCCGGCUAACUACGUGCCAGCAGCCGCGGUAAGACGUAGGGAGCGAGCGUUGUCCGGAUUCAUUGGGCGUAAAGCGCGCGUAGGCGGUUUGGCAAGUCGGAUGUGAAAUCCCGAGGCUCAACCUCGGGACUGCAUCCGAUACUGCCCGACUAGAGGUAGGUAGGGGAGAUCGGAAUUCCUGGUGUAGCGGUGAAAUGCGCAGAUAUCAGGAGGAACACCGGUGGCGAAGGCGGAUCUCUGGGCCCUACCUGACGCUGAGGCGCGAAAGCUAGGGGAGCGAACAGGAUUAGAUACCCUGGUAGUCCUAGCCGUAAACGUUGGGUGCUAGGUGUGGGCGGAUAUCGACCCCGUCCGUGCCGAAGCUAACGCAUUAAGCACCCCGCCUGGGGAGUACGG